rnacentral:rRNA from 1 species
CAGUCGCCGCGGUAAGACGGAGGGGGCUAGCGUUGUUCGGAAUGACUGGGCGUAAAGGGCGCGUAGGCGGUUUUUUAAGUGAGGCGUGAAAGCCCUGGGCUUAACCCAGGAGGUGCGUUUCAUACUGGAAGACUUGAGUACGAGAGAGGAGAAUGGAAUUCCUAGUGUAGGGGUGAAAUUCGUAGAUAUUAGGAAGAACACCAGUGGCGAAGGCGACUUUCUGGCUCGUAACUGACGCUGAGGCGCGAAAGCGUGGGGAGCAAACAGGAUUAGAUACCCGAGUAGUCCCUGUCUCUUUACA